CUCUCGCCCGCCGCAGCGGGGGCGGGGCCGGCGGCCGGGGGCGGGGCCAGCGCGGGUCGCUCACUUCCCCACCGCGCCCUCAGCUCCGCAGCCCGCUGGGCAGGACCCGGCUCUUUCCCCGCGCGCGGUCCCUUCAUCCAGUUCCCCCAGCUCCGUGGACCCCAGAGUGUUGGCAGCAGGCGCCGCCAGGGUUGUUUAUUGAUUAUUUCGUCAACUAAUCUAUCUCUGCUGCUGCUGCUGCUAAGUCGCUUCAGUUGUGUCCGACUCUGUGCGACCCCAUGGACUGCAGCCUACCAGGCUUCUCAGUCCAUGGGAUUCUCCAGGCAAGAACACUGGAGUGGGUUGCCAUUUCCUUCUCCAAUGCAUGAAAGUGAAAAGUGAAAGUGAAGUCGCUUAGUCGUGUUCGACUCUUCGCGACCCCAUGGACUGCAGCCUACCAGGCUCCUCCGUCCAUGGGAUUUUCUGGGCAAGAGUACCGGAGUGGGGUGCCAUUGUCUUCUCCGAAUCUCUCUCUACCAAACAUAUAUUCAUCUCUUUGUUUUUGUCUGUCUCCCACACUAGGAAAUGGGAGACCUCAUGUAUCUCAUUUACCACCAGCACCAAAUACAAUGCCUGAUAUAUACCAGCUGCCAUGUUGGGAACAGUCCUAUGGAGAUGCCCAUGUGGUGAGGAGCUCAAGUCUCAUCAACAGUCAGUGAUUCGCUAAGGCUUGUCAACUAGUCAGCUUGGGAGUCGAUUCCCUGGCAGCUUUUGAGCCUUCAGAAGGCUGCAGCUUUGACCGAUAAUCCAACUGCAACGUCCUGGGAGAUCCUGAGUGAGAACCACCCAACUAAACCAUUCC
ensembl:lncRNA